UACAGAGGGUGCAAGCGUUAAUCGGAAUUACUGGGCGUAAAGCGCGCGUAGGUGGUUCGGUAAGUUGAAUGUGAAAUCCCCGGGCUCAACCUGGGAACUGCAUCCAAAACUGCCGAGCUAGAGUAUGGUAGAGGGUGGUGGAAUUUCCUGUGUAGCGGUGAAAUGCGUAGAUAUAGGAAGGAACACCAGUGGCGAAGGCGACCACCUGGACUGAUACUGACACUGAGGUGCGAAAGCGUGGGGAGCAAACAGGAUUAGAAACCCCCGUAGUCC
rnacentral:rRNA from 1 species